rnacentral:rRNA from 1 species
UUGGUGUAUCCGGGAGAAGUUCCUUGGAACGGGGCAUCAGAGAGGGUGACAAUCCCGUCUGUGCCCGGAUGGCACCUCUUGAAGGCUGCGUAACGGAGUCGAGUUGCUUGGGAUUGCAGCUCUAAGCGGGUGGUAAAUUCCAUCGAAGGCUAAAUACGGGUGGGAGACCGAUAGCGAACAAGUACUGUGAAGGAAAG